CUAGCGGGGAAUGAUUAGCGUUAUUUAUAUCUAGUGUUUUGUGAAGAUACCCGUUUGUUGCUUAAAAUCACACAUAAAGCCCCUCAAAUUCCCUCUGUCAGCAGGUCAGAAGUGCUCUCGCUAGCUACCCACGAAAAGCGCGCUCGGGAAAGUCACGUCUCUGAUGCUCGCGGCAAGAAUUAGAACCAUUUCGAGAGGGAGGUGGGUUAGAGGAAAAAAAAACAAACCAGACAGCCAGUGGGGAAACCGACCACUCAACUGAAACGGCGGCGGUGCCUCGACGGAAACCGGGGAACUGAACGGCUAAAACCGGAGGUUCCAACCCCAAGACCUAUGGCUUCAGUCUUCAGACCCUAAGAAGUGUGACUCCACUCGAGAUUGAUUAGCAGUCCGGCGAAUGUAUGACAUCACUUCAAAAUUAUGUGGAAACCAUCACCAUUUUCAGCUGCAGGAAAAGAAAAGUUACACUUACAAAUGCGGCUUCGCCCUUCUCCUCGCCAGAUCUUCUACCGGGAGCGCGUUCCCCCCUCUGGACCGUCGUGUCAGGUUUGACGCCCCCGCACCACGUCCGCGGGACGGAGAGGUGGAAGUGCCGGGAAAGCAGCAGGAACCGGGGAUGAGCUCUGCCUAGACCCUCUAGCCUCUCACCCAGACCAAACACCGUCGGGGAGACACCGGGCAGUAAGCAGCACAAUACGGUUACCUGGGAGAUGUGAAAUCCCAGGCCACCGAUCGCCCGGAUUGGAGAAAUCAAAGAGGAUAACGGCUGUGGGCUCCGUCUGACCCACUUCUCUGGCUUAACUGGGCCAGCCCAGUCCACGAAGACUCCGGCUGCUGUAUCGGAACGGCCUGGAAUGAGCAGCGGCGGGCCGGUGGAAAGAGCACAGGCCCGGGAGGCGGAGGACCUGGGUUCCACCCCGGCUCUGCCAACUCGUCUGCUGGGCGACCCUUGGGUGGGUCACUUCGCUUCUCUGAGCCU